GGAGGGGUAGCGAAGUGGCCAAACGCAGCAGACUGUAAAUCUGCCGGCUCUGCCUUCGUAGGUUCGAAUCCUACCCCCUCCACCA
rnacentral:tRNA from 2 species